GGGGGGGGGGGGGGGGGGGGGGGGGGGGGGGGGGGGGGGCGGGGGGGGGGGGAGGGUGCGUGGGGGAUGUUGGCGGCUGGCGGGGGAGUGAGGCGUGGGGGACCUACCGAUGAGACGGGGAUGACUUCUGUCAACCGGAGAUACGCACGGAUCAUAUUGUGAAUCGUAUGGUUCAAAGGUGAAAGCAUGUCUGUCUGUCCCUGAUAUCUGGAGCAGCGAUUCAUUAGCCCGUUGGUACGGUAACGGAUUACCAAGGCAACGAUGCAUAGCCGACCUGAGAGGCUGAUCGGCCACACUGGACCUGCGACACGGUCCAGACUCCUACGGGAGGCAGCAGUAGGGAAUCUUCCGCAAUGGGCGAAAGCCUGACGGAGCAACGCCGCGUGAGUGAUGAAGGUCUUCGGAUCGUAAAACUCUGUUAUUAGGGAAGAACAUAUGUGUAAGUAACUGUGCACAUCUUGACGGUACCUAAUCAGAAAGCCACGGCUAACUACGUG
rnacentral:rRNA from 1 species